ACGUAGGAUCCAAGCGUUGUCCGGAUUUACUGGGCGUAAAGCGUGCGCAGGCGGUUUUGUAAGCCAGAUGUGAAAGCCCCGGGCUCAACCUGGGAAUGGCAUUUGGGACUGCAAGGCUUGAGUGCGGCAGAGGAGACUGGAAUUCCUGGUGUAGCAGUGAAAUGCGUAGAUAUCAGGAGGAACACCAGCGGCGAAGGCGGCGCUCUGGGCCGGUACUGACGCUGAGGAGCGAAAGCGUGGGUAGCAAACAGGA
rnacentral:rRNA from 1 species